rnacentral:tRNA from 1 species
AGGAAGGUAAGCUAAGCUAAGCUAUCAGGCUCAUACCCUGAAUAUAGAAGACACCCUUCUCCUUCCUA